rnacentral:rRNA from 1 species
UACGUAGGGGGCGAGCGUUGUCCGGAAUCAUUGGGCGUAAAGCGCGUGUAGGCGGCCCGGUAAGUCCGCUGUGAAAGUCCAGGGCUCAACCCUGGGAUGCCGGUGGAUACUGUCGGGCUCGAGUCCGGAAGAGGCGAGUGGAAUUCCUGGUGUAGCGGUGAAAUGCGCAGAUAUCAGGAGGAACACCGGUGGCGAAGGCGGGUCUCUGGGCCGAUACUGACGCUGAGGAGCGAAAGCCAGGGGAGCAAACGGG